AGCCAUUUUCUGAAUACCCAUGCAGGCCACUUGCCACUUCGUUGAAAAGGAGACUCCUGAGGAGGCGUUUCUGCAUGACACGGCCUGUUCGAGCCUUCCAUUGUGGGAUGAACAGUUAUUCCCAUCAUUAGAGCCUUCACCAAACGAGAUUGGAGGUUGACCUGCCUAACAGUGGGACGCUCUCAAGGGCCGCCUCGAGAAAGGACUUCCAUUUGGUUCAGCGGUCCACCAUCGCAAUAUGGUGGACAGAUGCCCACGCGCAUAGGAGCUUCACGGGAACGAACUGUUUUGCAGCAGCAGGCGGCCAGAAGCCUGCACAUCAGCCAUUGUCCCCACAUAAAGUGGGAGCAUAGAGAGUCUCUUCCAGGCACUACAGUGCUGCCCAAAGCCUUUCGAAAGAGGAAGCGAAACAGGCCGCCCAGAACACCAGGCUUUUGGCUGUCCCAGAAGACGACCAAGU